rnacentral:misc_RNA from 1 species
CACAGAGCAGGGUGGUGGGUAACGCCCACCCGGGGUGACCCGCGGGCCAGUGCCACAGAGAACAGACCGCCCCGAUGCGCCGGUUCGCCGACGUGCCGGGGUAAGGGUGAAACGGCGGUGUAAGAGACCACCGGCACCGUGAGCGAUCACGGUGGCCAGGUAAACCCCACCCGGAGCAAGACCAGACAGCAGGCGGGUUGCUCGCCCUUGCCUGCGGGUAGGUCGCUGGAGGCCGUCAGCAAUGACGGUCCGAGAUGGAUGACCGUCCCACG